GUUCCUUCGGGAGCGAGUACACUGGCGAACGGGUGAGUAACGCGUAGGUAACCUGCCCUUAAGUUCGGGAUAACCCACCGAAAGGUGGACUAAUACCGGAUAAUAUCCCGCCUCAUAGGAGGUCGGGAUCAAAGAUGGCUUCGGCUAUUACUUAUGGAUGGGCCUGCGUCUGAUUAGUUUGUUGGUGAGGUAAUGGCUCACCAAGACAGUGAUCAGUAGCUGGUCUGAGAGGGCGAUCAGCCACAUUGGGACUGAGAUACGGCCCAGACUCCUACGGGAGGCAGCAGUGGGGAAUUUUGCGCAAUGAGCGAAAGCUUGACGCAGCAACGCCGCGUGAUCGAAGAAGCUCUGCGGAGUGUAAAGAUCUGUCAUAGGGGAAGAAAAAUUCCGUUAUUAACACCAUCGGAACGUGACGGUACCCUAUAAGAAAGCCCCGGCUAACUUCGUGCCAGCAGCCGCGGUAAUACGAGGGGGGCAAGCGUUGUCCGGAUUUAUUGGGCGUAAAGAGUUCGUAGGCGGGUUAGUCAGUCGAAAUUGAAAUCCCACGGCUUAACCGUGGACCCGGUUUCGAUACUGCUAAUCUUGAGUGAUACAGAGGUAAGCGGAAUUCCUGGUGUAGCGGUGAAAUGCGUAGAUAUCAGGAGGAACACCGAAGGCGAAGGCAGCUUACUGGGUAUAUACUGACGCUGAGGAACGAAAGCGUGGGGAGCAAACAGGAUUA
rnacentral:rRNA from 1 species